rnacentral:lncRNA from 1 species
AAAUCUCAUUUACCCUUUUUUCUUUCUCUGAAAGUUUUUUAGGUUGACCAUGGUAGCUGCCGUUACUCCGCCGCAACCACCAGUCAUCGGCGACGGCGGCCGUCGUCCCCGGUGGUUAGAGUUCAUGAAAAAGGCUCAUUUUAGCCGUUUUAUUUCCCUCAACCCCAAUCUGAGGCCAAAAUAAUCAAAAAAACCCACCAAAAUUUGAGAAAAAUCAAAGGAACCUGUAGUGCCCAUUUUUGCCUGGAAGCCCAAACCCAGUUACAAACCAAACAACAACCCAAGCCCAAUUAAUAACCCUAAGCCCAAAUACAAACAUAACCCCAGCCCAAAAUUAACCCCAUUCAGCAGAGAUGCAAACCCUAAGGCGCGCCAUACGUUCUGCCAGCCACCUACGUCGCACGCCUUCGCAACUGCCGCUGCUCGCCUAUCACCGGCCGUCAAAAAUAGAAGUUUAGGGAUUUUAGAAUCGGUUAUAUAAGCCGAAUACAAGCACUGUAAUUUUUUCUGGCUUUUCUUACGAAUUUAGAAAUAAAAAAGCAAAAACUAAGGUGAUUUCCUGUUUUUUUUUAUUUCAAUCUUUCCUUUUUCUUUAUUUUCAUUAUUGUUUUUUUUAAACCAAAAUAAAAAAGAAAAAGACCUACCUGGGGUUGCCUGCGAGGUCCGUCGCCGGAGCCAUUUCGGUUGCCAAAAUCGAACGAAGAGGGUGGCGUCUGGGGUUUCUUCCCACGACCCUAGGACCAUGAAGGCUCGACCUUCAGUCGGUCCUUGAAGCGGGGUUAAAAACCCAGAUUUCUGCUGCUCCGGCCACCGCCUACGGCGGGGUCACGGUGGCACAUGCGACGGCCCUAUUGGUCGGAUUUGAGGCUGGGAG